rnacentral:rRNA from 1 species
AUUGAACGCUGGCGGCAUGCCUUACACAUGCAAGUCGAACGGUAACAGGUCUUCGGAUGCUGACGAGUGGCGAACGGGUGAGUAAUACAUCGGAACGUGCCUAGUAGUGGGGGAUAACUACUCGAAAGAGUGGCUAAUACCGCAUGAGAUCUACGGAUGAAAGCAGGGGAUCGCAAGACCUUGUGCUACUAGAGCGGCCGAUGGCAGAUUAGGUAGUUGGUGGGAUAAAAGCUUACCAAGCCGACGAUCUGUAGCUGGUCUGAGAGGACGAUCAGCCAAACCGGGACUGAGACACGGCCCAGACUCCUACGGGAGGCAGCAGUGGGGAAUUUUGGACAAUGGGCGAAAGCCUGAUCCAGCAAUGCCGCGUGCAGGAUGAAGGCCUUCGGGUUGUAAACUGCUUUUGUACGGAACGAAAAGCCCUGGGUUAAUACCCUGGGGUCAUGACGGUACCGUAAGAAUAAGCACCGGCUAACUACGUGCCAGCCGCCGCAGUAA